ensembl:lncRNA
CGGUGCCUCCGGCGUCCUAGAGCGGCCGCGGGCAGCCGGCGCUGGGCCGGGGUCCUGGGGCUAGUCUCGCGGGUCCUGAGCUCCGCCGCCUGCUUCCGGUCCUGGAAGAUGCCGGCGGUCUUUCGCUCGGGGACGCUGGCCCCGAGUCCUCUCGUCAGUAAAUGCUUGGAGAUUGCGUGCUGUGCGGCAAUCAACACUGCAAGGCGCCUGCAAUGCUGCGAGGUAAAGAGGCAGAUCACUGGCGAAACUCAAAGAGCACCCUACUUCCAGGCCCAUUCCCAACCAGCUCUUCUUAAGUGUAGUCCACUCCUGGCAUCUAUGGGAGCAUCACGGGGUUACUUCUUGUCACUCUUACUCUUGGUCAUGUAUGGAUGUGAGAGUUGGACUAUAAAAAAAGCUGAGCACCGAAGAAUUGAUGCUUUUGAACUGUGGUGUUGGAGAAGACUCUUGAGAGUGCCUUGGACUGCAAGGAGAUCCAACCAGUCCAUCCUAAAGGAGAUCAGUCCUGGGUGUUCAUUGGAAGGACUGAUGUUGAAGCUGAAGGAGAAGGGGGACGACAGAGGAUGAGAUGGUUGGAUGGCAUCACCGACUCAAUGGAUGUGAGUUUGAGCAAGCUUCAGGAGUUGGUGAUGGACAGGGAGGCCUGGAGUGCUGUGGUUCACGGGGUCGCAGAGUCAGACACGACUGAGCAACUGAACUGAAGACAUGAUAUAAAAAUUUUAAAUCCUACAUAUAAAGUAGUAAAAAUAGCUGGUCUCAGAUUUUCUUAAUUGUUUUCAAAAAUGAGAAAACAGAACCUGACUACCAUGGA